rnacentral:rRNA from 1 species
GACGAACGCUGGCGGCGUGCUUAACACAUGCAAGUCGAACGGAAAGGCCCAGCUUUUGUGGGGUGCUCGAGUGGCGAACGGGUGAGUAACACGUGAGUAACCUGCCCUUGACUUUGGGAUAACUUCAGGAAACUGGGGCUAAUACCGGAUAGGAGCUCCUGCUGCAUGGUGGGGGUUGGAAAGUUUCGGCGGUUGGGGAUGGACUCGCGGCUUAUCAGCUUGUUGGUGGGGUAGUGGCUUACCAAGGCUUUGACGGGUAGCCGGCCUGAGAGGGUGACCGGCCACAUUGGGACUGAGAUACGGCCCAGACUCCUACGGGAGGCAGCAGUGGGGAAUAUUGCACAAUGGGCGGAAGCCUGAUGCAGCAACGCCGCGUGCGGGAUGACGGCCUUCGGGUUGUAAACCGCUAUCGCCUGUGACGAAGCGUGAGUGACGGUAAUGGGUAAAGAAGCACCGGCUAACUACGUG